GUCGAUGCUCUGCUGAGUUUCGAGGGAGGAUGAGCGGCGGUCGGAGUCCUCUGAGCGACCCACCGCCUUCCCGGGCAGUGGCUUCCUGACGGGGAGACGAGGAGAAAAGGGUGUCAGGUCACGUCAAUCCUCACUCACCUUGGACAUGAUGGUGCGGUGAAGGGAGAGGAAUUCAUUGUAGCGACGCAGCACGAACCAGCACCUCUUGACGUCCUCCACCACCACCUUGAACACCUGCAGGAAAGACGGCCGCUUCAGAGGGAUGGAGAGGGAACAAAGCUGACUGACGGAGCGGUGGUGGUAUGUGAAGAAAAUGAAGCACUGACUAACUGACCGACUCAUUAGAAGAGUAAGAGAGAGAAUGGAGCGGUAGACAUAUAGCUAAAAAUAAUAAUGAUAAGACAAAACAAACAGCAGCGAGAGGAAUGAAGCAGUGAUAUGUUAGGAGGAAAAUAAGAUACUGACUAACUGACCGAACUGAUUAACUGAAUGCAUGACCUAAGAGCCACGACAACGGCCAUGCAGCACCACACCUCGAGAAACACGCCUCAGUAAACAUAGCGUGUGGUGGAAACAGAGACUCGAGUGCUGGGAACUAACAGGUCACGCUACAUCUGCUAAUUAAUGUGUGGUGUCAGUAGAGUAGGUUAGUUAUUCCGUACCCCACCACCACCACCAUCACCACCACCACCACGUCUAAUGAACGGUGACUCACUGCAGCAAGGGAAAAACUACACGUGGAUAUGACGAGGUGAACAGUGCUGUGUGUCAGGAUAAGAUUUGGGUGCGCUUGUCUGAGGAGGGAGGGAGGAAGGAGGGAUGGAUGGUGGAAUGAGGAAGAGGAGGAGGAGGAGGAGGAGGAGGAGGACAAGGAAGUAGAGAAGGAGGAUAAAAUGAUAUGUAGUGGACGGAAUAGCAAUGAAUAGGAAUAUUUGAAUAGAGGAGGAAGAAGGAAAAAAAAAAGAUAGCGAAGUAACUAGCAGUAGCAGCAGUAGUUGACAAGGAAAGCUGGGUUAAAAAACAAAAAGGUGUACCGUAGUAGUUGUAGAGGUGGCAGCAGUUGUAAUAAUAAAAAUACUUUCAUAAUACACUUACACAACCACCUCCGUGUGUUUUGCUCUUUAAGGUGCAGAUAAGAGAUUAGGUUUUUUUUCUUCCCUGACUCGGCAACCGUCUCCCGUACUCCUUAUCCCCUCCCUCACCAGUCCACCCCCUCCACUCUUAUCUGUCCCCUCACCUAUCCCGCCCACUCCCCCUUCUCUACUUGUCCUACCCUCACCGUCCUUUCUUCCACACCUGCCCUUCUCUUUCACCUCUCCUUUAUCACCAAUUCCCUCUUUUAUCUGUAUUUUCCAUGAUUUGUUCUUUUUUCCUUUAUCUGUUCCCCUUCACACUUGUUUCCUAUUCAUUAAUAAACCCUUCACUUUAUUUUUUUUCCUUUCAUUUAGUCUUAUGUAACUUAUUCAAUUCCUGUCAAUUUCUUCUGAACACGCACACAGGCACACACUGUAGAAUGUUCCCUUGAGUGUGUUUGUCCGCGCAGUUUAACAAAGAGAGUGAGUCAUGACAGCCACAGAGGAAGGAAGGACAGUACUAGUCUGAAUGUUAGCAAGGGGGUUGUGUUUGUUUAUUCCCUUACGCAACAUGAACUUAGAUCGUGUUUUGAGUUAGUCAGUGUGUUUGGAUGAAAUGUUUCCCUCUUUAAGGUCGAUGCUUUUAAUCUCUUAACCAGUCAGUCAGUCAGUUAAUGAGUCUACCUUUAUAUGUUUUAAGCAUACAUGUGCCCUUGGUUUCUUUAUCAUGUUAGUCAGAGGUUGGUGUUGUGUGGUGUGCCAGUGAGUCAGUGAGUUAAGUAAUCGGUUAGAUCGAUCAGUUAUUCAUUCAGUCAGUGAGUUACUCCAGCCAUGCACUCAUUGUCAUUAACUUUGUCAGCGAAUCGAACGAAUUAACCAGUCAGUUAGGUCAAUCAAUCAAUUCAGUAAAGCCAAUUAAUUCAGUCAAUCGUCAGUCAGUUAAAUCAGUUAGUCAGGCGAGUCACUCAAGUCAUUAAUUCAGCCAGUCAGUGAGUUAUUCGGUCAAACAAGGAAAGGAAGAAGCUCACGAGAAAAGGGUUAUAUCAUGUUAUUUUUUAAUUACUUAUCAUGUGAUCUUUACCCUUCAUAGGCUUAGUGUGUGUGUGUGUGUGUGUGUGUGUGUGUGUGUGUGUGUGUGUGUGUGUGUGUGUGUGUGUGUGUGUGUGUAGGCUAAUUAUAAUUCAGUGACCUUGUAUGCGUCGUUUGUUGUCACUGUAAUGUUUUGUCCCGUGGCUCAAUGUUUGAAUCAGGUCACCUUUCAAUAGUUCACUUCUACACAUUAAGCCAACCUUUGUAUCGUA